UGGCGGCGUGCUAACACAUGCAAGUCGAACGCGAAAGGGACUUCGGUCCUGAGUAAAGUGGCGCACGGGUGAGUAACGCGUAGAUAACCUGUCUUCAUGUCUGGAAUAAUACGCCGAAAGGGGUACUAAUACCGGAUAUUCUUGCUUUCAUAAGUUAUGCAAGCAAAGGUGGCCUCUGCAUAUGCUACUGCAUGAAGAGGGGUCUGCGUACCAUUAGCUAGUAGGUGGGGUAAUGGCCUACCUAGGCGACGAUGGUUAGCGGGUCUGAGAGGAUGAUCCGCCACACUGGCACUGGAACACGGGCCAGACUCCUACGGGAGGCAGCAGUGAGGAAUAUUGCGCAAUGGGGGAAACCCUGACGCAGCGACGCCGCGUGAGUGAGGAAGGCCUUCGGGUCGUAAAGCUCUGUCAAGAGGAAAGAAGUGUACAAUGGCUAAUACCUGUUGUAUUUGACGGUACCUCUAAAGGAAGCACCGGCUAACUCCGUGCCAGCCGCCGC
rnacentral:rRNA from 1 species